AAUUUUCAACCCAGGCCUGAGUUCAACCCCGGGGUUGAAAUUUCAACCUUGCUUCAGCUAGCAGGGUUGAAAUUUUCAACCCCGGGGUUGAACUCAGCCCUGGGUUGAAAA